AUUACUGCCGAUGCACAUGGUUUUUUUUAUGCAAGAGAAGAAGGCUGGGGGAUCUCCAGGAAACAUCUCAUGGAGGAGUACCUGAAAACCAAAGGAACAACACUGCAAUCGAAUGGCUGGACUUGACAGUUUGCAGUUUCUGACGCUCUGCAGCAGCCUCCGACGGUCCUGACCCCUGCUCUCUGUCAUGUCGAUUUGAUGCUGUCUGCUGCAGAGAUGAAAAAUCUGUUCCAGCCGAAACUUAGUCAACAGGAAAGCAACAGAAGGGCUCAGGAAGAGAAAGCUAUGAGUUACUGGGCAGACUAUCUUCUCGAUUGUGAAGAAAAUGACAGCUCAGUGACCUUGGAGGAGGUGUUAAUAUUCGCUACAGGUGUGCCAUGUGUGCCUCCUGCUGGUAUGAGUCCUCUGCCACGCCUUCAGUUCCUAUGUUCUACAACGUCAACAUUCUCAAUGGCAAAUACCUGUGCCAACAUUUUAAAGCUUCGUCUUUUGGACACUUAUGGUGCUUUCAAAGCCAACAUGAACUUUGGCAUUAACAAUUCCCCCGGCUUUGGGUGCCUUUUAAACAAUUAAAUAACUUAUGGUAAAAGUUAAUGAUGCCACACACA